rnacentral:tRNA from 1 species
GGGCUCGUAGCACAACUUGGAUAGUGCACCUGGCUUCGGACCAGGAGGUUGAGGGUUCAAAUCCCUCCGAGCCCA